GUCGAGGAUCUUCGGCAAUGGGCGAAAGCCUGACCGAGCGACGCCGCGUGUGCGAUGAAGGCCUUCGGGUUGUAAAGCACUGUCGUGGGGGAGAAAGCCCGCAAGGGUUGAUCGACCCCAGGAGGAAGCACGGGCUAAGUUCGUGCCAGCAGCCGCGGUAAGACGAACCGUGCGAACGUUGUUCGGAAUCACUGGGCUUAAAGGGCGCGUAGGCGGGCCGCAAAGUCAGGGGUGAAAGCCUCCAGCUCAACUGGAGAAGUGCCUCUGAUACUGGCGGCCUCGAGGGAGAUAGGGGCGUGCGGAACUUCCGGUGGAGCGGUGAAAUGCGUAGAUAUCGGAAGGAACACCGGUGGCGAAAGCGGCGCGCUGGAUCUCUUCUGACGCUGAGGCGCGAAAGCCAGGGGAGCGAACGGGAUUAGAUACCCCGGUAGUCC
rnacentral:rRNA from 1 species